AAUGAACGCUGGCGGCAGGCCUAACACAUGCAAGUCGAACGGAUCCUUCGGGAUUAGUGGCGGACGGGUGAGUAACGCGUGGGAACAUACCCUUUGGUACGGAAUAGCCUCGGGAAACUGGGAGUAAUACCGUAUGUGGUCGAGAGACGAAAGAUUUAUCGCCAAAGGAUUGGCCCGCGUUGGAUUAGGUAGUUGGGGGGGUAAUGGCCUACCAAGCCGACGAUCCAUAGCUGGUGUGAGGGGAUGAUCAGCCACACUGGGACUGAGACACGGCCCAGACUCCUACGGGAGGCAGCAGUGGGGAAUCUUAGACAAUGGGGGAAACCCUGAUCUAGCCAUGCCGCGUGAUCGAUGAAGGCCUUAGGGUUGUAAAGAUCUUUCAGGUGGGAAGAUAAUGACUGUACCACCAGAAGAAGCCCCGGCUAACUCCGUGCCAGCCGCCGCAGUAAUAC
rnacentral:rRNA from 1 species